UAAGGAAUAUUGCUCAAUGGGAGAAAUCCUGAAGCAGCAACGCCGCGUGGAGGAUGAAGGGUUUUUAACUUGUAAACUCCUGUAAAGAAGGAAAAAAUUCCCAUUAGAUGGGAAAUGAUGGUACUUCUGGAGUAAGCCCCGGCUAACUACGUGCCAGCAGCCGCGGUAAUACGUAGGGGGCAAGCGUUGUCCGGAUUUACUGGGUGUAAAGGGUGCUCAGGCGGAUUUGUAAGUCAGAGGUGAAAUCUCACAGCUUAACUGUGAAACUGCCUUUGAUACUGCAAGCCUAGAGUAUGGAAGAGAGUGAUGGAAUAUCUGGUGUAGCAGUGAAAUGCGUAGAUAUCAGAUAGAACACCAAUGGCGAAGGCAGUCACUUGGUCCAUAACUGACGCUAAAGCACGAAAGCGUGGGUAGCAAACAGGAUUAGAUACCCUGGUAGUCCACGCCCUAAACGAUGAAUACUAGAUGUUGGCUUCGCAUGAAGUCAGUAUCUGAGCUAACGCAUUAAGUAUUCCACCUGGAAGUACGAUCGCAAGGUUGAAACUUAAAUGAAUUGACGGGGUCAUAGC
rnacentral:rRNA from 1 species